UACGUAGGGUGCAAGCGUUGUCCGGAAUUAUUGGGCGUAAAGAGCUCGUAGGCGGCUUGUUGCGUCGUCCGUGAAAACCCGGGGCUCAACUCCGGGCCUGCAGCCGAUACGGGCAGACUAGAGUUCGGCAGGGGAGACUGGAAUUCCUGGUGUAGCGGUGAAAUGCGCAGAUAUCAGGAGGAACACCGGUGGCGAAGGCGGGUCUCUGGGCCGAUACUGACGCUGAGGAGCGAAAGCGUGGGGAGCGAACAGG
rnacentral:rRNA from 1 species